rnacentral:rRNA from 1 species
UACGUAGGCAGCAAGCGUUGUUCGGAAUUACUGAGCGUAAAGAGUGUGUAGGCGGUGUUCUAAGUCUGUUGUGAAAUCGCUCGGCUCAACUGGGCGGGGUCAGCGGAUACGGCGUAGCUGGAGCAAGCUAGGGGGCAAUGGAAUUCCUGGUGUAGCGGUGGAAUGCGCAGAUAUCAGGAGGAACACCGGUGGCGAAGGCGGUUCUCUGGGCAUUACCUGACGCUGAGGAGCGAAAGUGUGGGGAGCGAACAGG